CCCAGCUGCCCUUUCCCUGUCACUGCUGAGACUGGAGAACUCCCAAAGGAGUCAGUCCUUGCUGCUGGUGGGACAUCUUGCUCCGUUCAAGUAUUGCUUGGGCCCUAUCCUAGGGGACAAGGUCAGCAUCCAGGACCUGGACUCCAUCCUGGGCACCAUGGGGAUCCACCUGACCAGUGAGGAGCUGCAGGAAGCCUUAGGACACACGGCAGGUAGGGCUCAUGGGAAGGUGAAUUUGAGUGAAUUCAUGAAGGCAGAGAAGACGGUCCAGAAACCACCCCUGGGGAAAGAGGACAAAGUUGAUGUCAGUAAUGUGGGCUCCAUACUGGCCACCAUGGGGAUCCAUUUAACCCCAGAGGAGCUGCAAGAGGCAUGGAAACAUGUCCCAGUGGAUGGGAACCGGGUGGAUAUCCGGAGCCUGGACACCAUCCUGGGCAGUGUGGGGAUCCACCUUACCAAUGAAGAGAUGCAAGAAGUGCUGGAGCAUGUAACAGUGGAUUGUGAGUGCUGCAGGUCUUGCCAUCCUCUCUGCAGCUGCUCUGGCAGGGUGAGCUCUGAGCCUACGCUGUUCUCUUGCAGCUGA
rnacentral:lncRNA from 1 species